AUUGAACGCUGGCGGCAGGCCUAACACAUGCAAGUCGAACGAGUGGCGGACGGGUGAGUAAUGUCUGGGAAACUGCCUGAUGGAGGGGGAUAACUACUGGAAACGGUAGCUAAUACCGCAUACCAUCAGAUGUGCCCAGAUGGGAUUAGCUUGUUGGUGGGGUACCGGCUCACCAAGGCGACGAUCCGUAACUGGUCUGAGAGGAUGAUCAGUCACCCUGGAACUGGGACACGGUCCAGACUCCUAAGGGAGGGCGGCGUGGGGAAUAUUGGACAAUGGGGCAAAGCCUUGUCCAGCCAUGCCGCGUGUGUGAAGAAGGUCUUCGGAUUGUAAAGCACUUUAAGGUGGGAGGCGUUUCCCACAGAAUAAGCACCGGCUAACUCCGUGCCAGCAGCCGCGGUAAUAC
rnacentral:rRNA from 1 species